GGAACUGAGACACGGUCCAGACUCCUACGGGAGGCAGCAGUAGGGAAUCUUCCGCAAUGGGCGAAAGCCUGACGGAGCAACGCCGCGUGAGUGAUGAAGGUUUUCGGAUCGUAAAACUCUGUUAUUAGGGAAGAACAAAUGCGUAAGUAACUGUGCGCAUCUUGACGGUACCUAAUCAGAAAGCCACGGCUAACUACGUGCCAGCAGCCGCGGUAAUACCUAGGUGGCAAGCGUUAUCCGGAAUUAUUGGG
rnacentral:rRNA from 1 species